rnacentral:rRNA from 1 species
CAGUCGCCGCGGUAAUACGAAGGGUGCAAGCGUUAAUCGGAAUUACUGGGCGUAAAGCGUGCGUAGGCGGUUUGUUAAGUCUGUUGUGAAAUCCCCGGGCUCAACCUGGGAAUGGCAAUGGAUACUGGCAAGCUAGAGUGUGUCAGAGGAUGGUGGAAUUCCCGGUGUGGCGGUGAAAUGCGUAGAGAUCGGGAGGAACAUCAGUGGCGAAGGCGGCCAUCUGGGACAACGCUGACGCUGAGGCACGAAGGCGUGGGGAGCAAACAGGAUUAGAUACCCCAGUAGUCCCUGUCUCUUAUAA